rnacentral:rRNA from 1 species
GACGAACGCUGGCGGCGUGCCUAAUACAUGCAAGUAGAACGCUGAAGGAAGGAGCUUGCUCUUUCCGGAUGAGUUGCGAACGGGUGAGUAACGCGUAGGUAACCUGCCUGGUAGCGGGGGAUAACUAUUGGAAACGAUAGCUAAUACCGCAUAACAGUAGAUAUCGCAUGAUAUCUACUUGAAAGGUGCAAUUGCACCACUACCAGAUGGACCUGCGUUGUAUUAGCUAGUUGGUGAGGUAACGGCUCACCAAGGCAACGAUACAUAGCCGACCUGAGAGGGUGAUCGGCCACACUGGGACUGAGACACGGCCCAGACUCCUACGGGAGGCAGCAGUAGGGAAUCUUCGGCAAUGGACGGAAGUCUGACCGAGCAACGCCGCGUGAGUGAAGAAGGUUUUCGGAUCGUAAAGCUCUGUUGUAAGAGAAGAACGAGUGUGAGAGUGGAAAGUUCACACUGUGACGGUAUCUUACCAGAAAGGGACGGCUAACUACGUGCCAGCAGCCGCGGUAAUACGUAGGUCCCGAGCGUUGUCCGGAUUUAUUGGGCGUAAAGCGAGCGCAGGCGGUUAGAUAAGUCUGAAGUUAAAGGCUGUGGCUUAACCAUAGUACGCUUUGGAAACUGUUUAACUUGAGUGCAAGAGGGGAGAGUGGAAUUCCAUGUGUAGCGGUGAAAUGCGUAGAUAUAUGGAGGAACACCGGUGGCGAAAGCGGCUCUCUGGCUUGUAACUGACGCUGAGGCUCGAAAGCGUGGGGAGCAAACAGG